rnacentral:rRNA from 1 species
CGAACGCUGGCGGCGUGCUUAACACAUGCACGUCGAACGGAAAGGCCCUGCUUUUGUGGGGUGCUCGAGUGGCGAACGGGUGAGUAACACGUGAGUAACCUGCCCUUGACUUUGGGAUAACUUCAGGAAACUGGGGCUAAUACCGGAUAGGAGCUCCUGCUGCAUGGUGGGGGUUGGAAAGUUUCGGCGGUUGGGGAUGGACUCGCGGCUUAUCAGCUUGUUGGUGGGGUAGUGGCUUACCAAGGCUUUGACGGGUAGCCGGCCUGAGAGGGUGACCGGCCACAUUGGGACUGAGAUACGGCCCAGACUCCUACGGGAGGCAGCAGUGGGGGAUAUUGCACAAUGGGCGGAAGCCUGAUGCAGCAACGCCGCGUGCGGGAUGACGGCCUUCGGGUUGUAAACCGCUUUCGCCUGUGACGAAGCGUGAGUGACGGUAAUGGGUAAAGAAGCACCGGCUAACUACGUG